UUUUUUUUUUUUUUUUUUACAGUGACAGAAAGGAUUUCUUGAGAACAUGCAAAAUGCAUCUCGAACAAAGAGGCAGGUAGUGCAUCGGGUCACGAACACAUCCAUAAACAAAACAAGCUUAAUCUCUGACUUCCUGUUUUGUUUUGUUUUUUUCUUUUCUUGUCUAGACCAUAGUUCUAGUUUAACCACUUGAGAACUUGUCAUCCAUUUAUGACACUUCAUCUUGUACAUUAACACAAUGUAAAAUAAUAAGCCACAGGAAAUGAGUUAAAAGUGUCCGACGAAAGCGGCCAAGCAACAACGAGCGCGCCACUGACACGAACAAACACAGACAGUCAGGUCUCACUUUUCAUCAUUUGGGAGCGCGUUAAGGAACUGUGAAGAAAUGGGAAACGAGUACGGAGUCUUUGUAGGGUCCUUUGCCGGAUGGUUUCGUUACUUCUUGUUCUUCAUCUGGGUUUUGGACAUUGUACUGAUUUGGAUUGUAACAUACCUGGACAUUUCUUUGAUCAGAAGAAUCAGAAAUUUCUGUCACAUCUAUAGCUGCCACUCUCCCAAGCUUCAUUUCCAAAAAAACGCAGCCUAAGUAUGUAACGACUUAGAGACUCCGCCACCAUGAGACAUCCCAAUGAAAGUCUCACUCCGAGCAUUGCGCUAGUGAUGACUCCAAGUUUUAUGUUUAUUGGACUGCUUCUCUUGUUUGACUUCUUUUUGUUUGAUUACUUUAUCAUUCGAGCUAUCUGUUGUUUGUUUGCUGUUCGCUUGACUACAUUACCGAUUGUUCCUUUUUUUUUUUUUUGGUCUGAUGAUGGUCUCUUAAUAAAGCCCCGUAUUUGCAUCUGAACGUGUGCAGAAUGCGCUAGUCACUUGAAGCGAGUUCAAAUCGCAGGACGGUCACAGAGUAAGACUUUUAACCAACGUCAGAAGAUUUCACUCAGUUUCUAUAGCUCUGCCCUGUUUGGGAAUCGAUUACUCUUGUGCUACUUUAAUCUCACCGUGCUUUAAACCAACAGAAAACGAUCUUUUGAGCCUAGGUUCUCCUCAAGGUUUCUUCCUAAUGUUCUUAAGGCAUUGGAAUUUCUGUAAAGAUGCUUUGUGAGGACUUUUGGUAAAAACACUAUAAGGUUUAGCCCAAUAAUCGGGACCAAAUAAGAGAAGAGAAACAUCGGCGCAAAAAAUGAAAAUGAAAAACGUCUGAUCUCUUGGUAUUUUCACACACAGAGGCUCAAGAAUUCUACUGUUCACACAGAAUGGUGUGAAAACCACCCAGUGAGCAGUAGUUCUCUGGGCAGAAAUGCUGAUGGGUGAGGUGAGAGGACAGGAAGCUAUAGUAACCGAAAUAACCACUUUUUAUAGCUGAACAGAGCAGCAUCUCACAGGCGGUCAGGCAAAAACAGGAAUCUGACCCUACAAAGGCCAAAGAUCCACCCAAACUGUACAGAUGAAGAUUUGGAAAAAAAGAUCCCGCGGCAUUUCAUUCGCUCGUUACAAGAUUUACGAUUUAAAGUUUUUAAGAACGGACAUAAACAUCUAAUAGGAGUCUAGUACACUGACAAUCUAUUGCUUGAGGAUUUGUCCUAAUUGUAAUAAUCACAUUAAUCACUGCAAAUUCGGCUUCCGCUGUCAUUAUUUAUCCGCUUAUAAAAUAGCACUUGAUCCAGCACAUCCCCUAGUAUUCUGCGUUUUAUUUUUUUCCGCUCGUGCCUUGAUAGUUAAUGCACAACUUAAUCUAAUGUAACGUGUGCGUAGGAUGUAGGAUUUUGUCAGUAUCCAUGUGGGAGCAUCCACAGCACGAGAGCUCCGGUAGGUCCGGAGGGUGUGAGCUUAUGAGAGAUUAUGACACAUGCUGUCAAUGUAAUUCAAUAUUUCCUGAUCAGGAAACGUUCUGUAGUGAUCACUUGAGUGUAGCAUAGGCCCGGACGGCUAACGAAACAGCGAUGUUUGCUAAGAAUAAAGCAAACACCGACACACCCACACACACAUCACGGAGUCUGUCGAGAACAGGGCUCCAAAACACACCAUCACACUGUUUACUCUGACACCGGUGUUGAUUUCUCCCUGACAACGCAUCCUGUAGUUAAUGCCAAGGUCGAGUCUACACACUGAAGUCUAUUAUACGCUAAAUUAGACUUCAUAGGGCUGCACUGUAUACUGUGAGGACUGCUAUAGAGGUUUCACUUUCUCUUAUGCCAUCAUCUGAUAUGGUAGAGUGUAUGACAUUCGGAAUGAAGUAAGUACGGUGGCUCGGUAGUGCACAAGACAACGAAAGUGAAAAAGCAAACAUAAAUUAACAACACAACGGAAUCAAGCCGUGACGCAACG